CCUACGGGAGGCAGCAGUAGGGAAUAUUGGACAAUGGGCGAAAGCCUGAUCCAGCAAUGCCGCGUGAGUGAUGAAGGCCCUAGGGUUGUAAAGCUCUUUUACCCGGGAUGAUAAUGACAGUACCGGGAGAAUAAGCUCCGGCUAACUCCGUGCCAGCAGCCGCGGUAAU
rnacentral:rRNA from 1 species